rnacentral:tRNA from 1 species
AAAAGCUAAGUAUAUGAGGCAAUACUUAAAGAUCAAAAUUUGUUCUUUGAUAGAUUCGAUUUCUAUGGCUUUUA